AAUUUGAAAUCUGGCCCCUUCGGGGUCCGAGUUGUAAUUUGUAGAGAGUGCUUCGGGCGAGGUUGCGGUCUAAGUCCAUUGGAACAUGGCGUCGUAGAGGGUGAGAAUCCCGUAUGCGACCGCGGACCGAGCCCAUGUGAAGCCUCCUCGACGAGUCGAGUUGUUUGGGAAUGCAGCUCAAAACGGGUGGUAUAUUUCAUCUAAAGCUAAAUAUUGGCUGGAGACCGAUAGCGCACAAGUAGAGUGAUCGAAAGAUGAAAAGCACUUUGGAAAGAGAGUCAAACAGUACGUGAAAUUGUUGAAAGGGAAGCGCUUGCAACCAGACCUGCCCGGGGGCGAUCAGCCGCUGUUCUCAGCGGUGCACUCGUUCCCCGAUCAGGCCAGCAUCGGUUCCGGCGGUCGGACAAAGGCCCCGGGAAUGUAGCUCCCCUCGGGGAGUCUUAUAGCCCGGGGCGCAAUGCGGCCAGCCGGGACCGAGGACCGCGCUUCGGCUAGGAUGCUGGCGUAAUGGUUGUCAGCGACCC
rnacentral:rRNA from 1 species